GACUCCGUAGCUUAGAGGAAAGAAGCGCCCGUCUAGCGUAUUGGGAGUCGUGGGUUUGACUCCCAUCGGAGCA
rfam:Aedes albopictus isolate Foshan contig155847, whole genome shotgun sequence.